UAGAGACGGGGUUUCACUUUGUUAGCCAGGAUAGUCUUGAUCUCCUGACCUUGUGAUCCACCUACCUCGGCCUCCCAAAGUGCUGGAAUUACAGGCAUGAGCCACCAUGCCCAGCCCAGCCCUUCUCAUUCUUAAAAACCAUUAGCUCUGGGCUGAUUUCUCCCUCUUGCUCAUAGCUGCAGCCUCCCUUGAGGUUCCUAUUCGUGCCCCCCAGUUCUGAUUUCUCUGCCCUCAUCACCUUCCCCCACUCACCUCUGUGUUACACCCACCCUGGGUCCCCAGGACCUCCCUAGGUCCUUCAUCUCUGUGGUCUUUCUCUGACACUCCAACACUUCCAGUCAUUUACCCCAGGUUACCCUCUAAAACAAACCUUGCCCCGCUGGAACCUCUUGUUCAUUGGCCCCGUACAUUUUAACUUCCCCUGUCAACUCCCUCUUAGCUGUUUAUGCUCUAAAAUUUAAAAGUCAACCAACAAACUGUCCCCAUGCUACCUUUACUGCCCCUCAAUGUUUCUGAGGUGAGUCAUCCCACAGGGAUGGCUGGUUUUAUUUUUAAGUGAAGAUUUCAAGCAUCAGACAGGCUCUCGGCACUGCCUGGCUCUUUGAUUCCAUUUCCCUAGCGCAGCAGCCAGAGGACUGGCUGGAAACAGGUGGCUGCCCACACUGGCAGAUGAGAAGUCCACUUCUGAAGAAAGGAGACACUAAAAGUGCCAUGAGCUUUUCCACCCAAGAGUCCACGCGAGCUUGCCCACACUCCCUCCUGACACUGUCUCCAGAAUUAUUAGGUGAACAAUCCAGUGCUUAUUAAAUCCUGUCAUUAUGAUGGAAAAAGACAACCUCGAAGGAAGCAGCUGCGCCUUUGCUAUAAACGUUGGACUGUCACAGGCCGCUGUCCUUGCUAGAGUCUGCCUGACGUCACGUGCAUAAAGUCCUAAAGGUUACAGGGACUGCAAGGACACCAUUGUACAGUCUGAAUUCACCGUGAAAUCUAGAUGAAGGGUGUGUGUGCUGCAGAUGAGGAUCUGAUCCUCCCUGAGCUUGCAUGAGGAGCUGUGCCUUACCUUUAACAUACGGCCCCACGCAGGCAAUGUGACAGCAGCAGAGUUCGUGGGAAUGUGAGCCACUUCCUCCUGCAGUGCAUGUGUGCCUUCCAGAUCCGCUGGGGCCCAGUCUUGCAAAUGCAACAUACUUUAUAACGGAAGAUCACUGUGCCCAUCCGACGGAGUGGUUAUGUGGAUCAGAUAGCCCUUGGCUUGUGAUGCACAGCCCAAGUUCUGCAGUCACUCUGUUUCCACAAUCAGAUCUUCAACCUGCACCAAGGCCCAGUGGCAGCCUGGAGCUGCUUUUCUAGAGAAGACUAGUACACUAGUCAGAACGGGAAGACAGGGACUUCAUUCAAAUCUUGAGGUUUGCACUCCGACUCUCCCCUCAAGGCUUGCCAGCAUCUCCCUACAGUGUCUGUGUCUGCCCUUGGGAUGCCUGCAGCCGUGCUGUGCUAUUUCACAAGGCCCAAGUGGCAGGGCACCCGGCAUGGCAACCUGGACCUGGGAGCUGCACUUGCUUGCUCGGGUCCCCCUUAAACCUUGCAGCCUUGGGAGGUUACCUGCCAAUGGGUUAGAGCAGUGAAUCCAGUAUGUUAUAUGCUGCCUAUAAAAUUAAAAGUGGACCAUCAAGAA